rnacentral:rRNA from 1 species
UACGUAGGGUGCAAGCGUUGUCCGGAAUUAUUGGGCGUAAAGAGCUCGUAGGCGGUCUGUCGCGUCUGCUGUGAAAUCUCAGGGCUUAACUCUGAGCUUGCAGUGGGUACGGGCAGACUAGAGUGCGGUAGGGGAGACUGGAAUUCCUGGUGUAGCGGUGAAAUGCGCAGAUAUCAGGAGGAACACCCGUGGCGAAGGCGGCUCUCUGGGACGGUACUGACGCUGAGACGCGAAAGCGUGGGGAGCGAACAGG